rnacentral:rRNA from 1 species
AGUGAACGCUGGCGGUAGGCCUAACACAUGCAAGUCGAACGGCAGCACAGUAAGAGCUUGCUCUUACGGGUGGCGAGUGGCGGACGGGUGAGGAAUACAUCGGAAUCUACUUUUUCGUGGGGGAUAACGUAGGGAAACUUACGCUAAUACCGCAUACGACCUACGGGUGAAAGCAGGGGAUCUUCGGACCUUGCGCGAUUGAAUGAGCCGAUGUCGGAUUAGCUAGUUGGCGGGGUAAAGGCCCACCAAGGCGACGAUCCGUAGCUGGUCGGAGAGGAUGAUCAGCCACACUGGAACUGGGACACGGUCCAGACGCCUACGGGAGGCAGCAGUGGGGAAUAUUGGACAAUGGGCGCAAGCCUGAUCCAGCCAUAGCGCGUGGGUGAAGAAGGCCUUCGGGUUGUAAAGCCCUUUUGUUGGGAAAGAAAAGCAGCAGGUUAAGACCCCGCGGUUCUGACGGUACCCAAAGAAGAAGCACCGGCUAACUUCGUG